CUACAAUUUAAAGACGUUUUUUUUGUUUUGCUGUAAGCAUACCACUAUAACUCAUCUCUGAUAUUCUACAGUAAGACUCUCAGUACCUUUUCAUUACUACUACUAUCGAUGCUGUCAACUCAUUUUUAGCUAAGUUCUUCGGUUGGUGCAGAAAGAAGACACAAGAAGUUCAGGCAUGAAAUACUAUGACGUCCUUCAUGCAGAGGGGAGAGAGAGAGAGAUUACAUCUUGGCAGUUGCAAAACCCAACUGACUGUUGACGUGACACAUAACAACAGCCAAGAGACAACAGCAAUAAGUCACGCUCGUGAACCCAGAAGGCAAAUGUGAUCAGGUGUUAUUUUUAAAGCGAUGCAAAUCAAGCCAAAGUGAUACAUGUUGAAAGGCUGAACCUUUGGAAAGGAACUGUCAGAAACGUUUCUUUGCUUUGAUCAGCAGGCAGGACAGGGGACGAGAGCAAGAAAUGUCAGCCUCUUCUUCUGCACAUGUUCAUAUGUUAUUCUUCUAUAAACGGUCUAAAAUCUCAUUACAGUAUUUACACAUGAAGGGUGUGUAUCAGACAAAGUGUGUGUUGCGUAUCCUGGAUUAACCCCCUCUGAUUUGAGUCCGUCAGCAGCCUCCUCUGCUCAGAAACAGUGAAUGACACUGGAUCCCCGCUUUAUUGGUAAUGUUAAGUACCAAUAUGAAGUCAGGAGCCCAGUAAUGACCCCCUGGGGAGGGAAGCACUUUGGUGAAUUGGGAAGAUCAUAAACUCCAGAGUAUUAAAGUGCCCUAGCAGCUGCAGCGCUCUAUUGACAAAUGUUUCUCUGAUGAUUUCUGAGCAGCCA